CAGCACCAGCCAGCAUUCAGCAGCAGCAGCCUCGUCGUGGCUAAAGGGGCUUCGGGAUGUCGUACCGCGAGCGCUAGUCCGUCGCGGUGUGUCGUCGUGUUACAAUCGUAUCCUCGUCCGCGUCCUCGUCCAUCGUCCACGUCGCGUCGUGUCGCGUCGACGAUCACAGGUGCUGGGUGCCAGGUGUUUUCGAUCCGUUGCACGCGGUUUACGGUGAUCGGCCGCCGCGCCGCAGCCCGGCUAUCGUUAUCGAUUAAUCAAAACGCGGAGAGAGGCCGGACGACGACGACGGGGCGCGCGCGACCGAUGUGAGAAAAUCAUAGUGAACGGCGAACAAAACGCGGGCUCCAGAGUGAUCCCCCAGGGACGUUCGUUCGAUCGGUGCUGGUUGCCUUCGAGAAUCCCCGACGAUCGUCGACGAUCAUCAACGAUCACCGACGAUCUUUGACCAGCCGAAUCGUCGGCGAAGUGCGUGAACUCGCAAGUGAAUUGGGGGAACGGGAGUGCAGUGGGAUAAAUGUUUCAUGGACAGAGGUGGUCUUCUUCUCCGUGCAGGUAAUACCGAGAAGGACUCGUCUCGGCUGCGAUCGAAGGGCUCCGCGGAUCCUCGACGAUAUGUCCCCGGAAAUCCACGGACUCCCGUGAAAAAAUAAGCAUCGAGGUCUGUGAUCGGAACGGCGAGAAAAUGGCAGACACUCUGGGAAGAAGACGGUACCUGACGAUCAGCAUACUGCACAUCAUCACCAUCAUGU